rnacentral:rRNA from 1 species
UGUCCCAGCAGCCGCGGUAAUACAGAGGGUGCGAGCGUUAAUCGGAUUUACUGGGCGUAAAGCGUGCGUAGGCGGCUGAUUAAGUCGGAUGUGAAAUCCCUGAGCUUAACUUAGGAAUUGCAUUCGGUACUGGUCAGCUAGAGUAUGGGAGAGGAUGGUAGAAUUCCAGGUGUAGCGGUGAAAUGCGUAGAGAUCUGGAGGAAUACCGAUGGCGAAGGCAGCCAUCUGGCCUAAUACUGACGCUGAGGUACGAAAGCAUGGGGAGCAAACAGGAUUAGAUACCCUGGUAGUCCAUGCCGUAAACGAUGUCUACUAGCCGUUGGGGCCUUUGAGGCUUUAGUGGCGCAGCUAACGCGAUAAGCAGACCGCCUGGGGAGUACGGUCGCAAGACUAAAACUCAAAUGAAUUGACGGGGGCCCGCACAAGCGGUGGAGCAUGUGGUUUAAUUCGAUGCAACGCGAAGAACCUUACCUGGCCUUGACAUACUAGAAACUUUCCAGAGAUGGAUUGGUGCCUUCGGGAAUCUAGAUACAGGUGCUGCAUGGCUGUCGUCAGCUCGUGUCGUGAGAUGUUGGGUUAAGUCCCGCAACGAGCGCAACCCUUUUCCUUACUUGCCA